UGAAGUGAUCCGGGGCACUACGGGUGAGCCACGCAUGCUCGGAGGGAAAAGGGAAGCCUGUCCUGAGACGCUAGGGUUUCAGUGGACCAUCUUAGACGCAGGAAUCCCACCACUGAUCACACAUCACCAUCACGAUUGACAAAGGAUCGACAUCUUCUCACAAGAGGGCAGGAGACACAGUUCCCACACGG